AUGACAGACCGCACUGAAACACCGCGAGAAGAGAAUAUAGUAUACAUGGAUAUGGACUCUGGAGAUGCACGGAAAGAAUCCAUUAAGGGUUCAGAUGCAAUGUCGCUGCAAGGGGCCGGAAAUUCACAACAUAAUCACGUCGAAGAGGUUAUAUCUGAUAAUAAACCAAAAAAGGAUGCUAAUUUACAUGUUAUCCCACAAGACUAUGUUUGUACCCCUAGAGAUAUUACAGUCAUCGAAUCAAUCAAGUCUGCCCCUAAGAAUGCCCAGUUUGUGGACAUUGGAGAUGCCUUGUUAGCAACUGACGAUUUGGAAUGCCUUAUUAGAAAUGACAUGUUCUUACAUGACGGUGUGAUAAAUGCUUACAUAUAUUGCAUGCUUGCUCACGGUCAUCUACAAGACAGGGCGGGUGAAAAGUUAUUCAUUCCGAUUAACAUGCCGGGCUACCAUUGCGUAUCAUGUGGAUUGUUUAUGCUAAAUUUUAUGGAAUACUGGACAUCACAUGGACUGUCAGACCAGUUUACGCAGGAGGAUAUGAAACAUUUUCGACAAAAAUUAGCAAUUAUUUUGCUCGAUUCAGAGCUUAAUAAGCUAAAAGGAUGUCCCAUGUACCAUCAACCUCUCAACGAAGAAACUUUAGCUAAUUCUGAUCUUGAGAUCCUGGAUAAUCCAUCUGACGUGGUCGAAGACAAACGUCCCGCCCCAAUCACUAUCAUUCCCACGGACCAACGUGAAAUACUUGUCGGCCUCUGCAACUACAUCAUGUCGAUCAAUGAUGCUGGGUGUUUGGAGAAGGUAUGGGUCCGGAGCUCCACACCCGAUCCAAUGAGCUUAAGUCUUAAGAAACUUCAGUGCAUACUUAACAUGGAGCAGCCCAUGGACAAUGAUUGCUUCAACACCGCCGUGCUUAUGCUGGCAUGUGACGAGGGAUUAUUGUUCACAGACCCUCCUAUACACUACAUGGAUCUACGAUUUUGUUCCAUGCUACUAGAGUCAACACGAGGUCAGAAGUUUUGUGAGAAGGAAACUAUCCAGACGUUGGCAACAUUAUUUGAUAGCUGGCCUGGGAUGGAGACCGACAUCUCAUCUUGCAAUAAGAUUUAUCUUCCCUAUGCAUCCAUCGGCCGAUACAUCCUGUACAUCAUCGACAAAGAGGCACGUCGUCUAUAUAUUAUGGAUCCUAUUCAAUCAUCACAAUCGUCAGAGAAUAAAAACUUGAGGCAUUCACUGAAAUUAAAAAGUUUUUCAAGGGAUUUCAAAGAAGCACUCGAAAUAAAGCUGCCUGGGUGGAAUUCUGAUAUAUCUAAAUGGCAUCGUUUAUUUCCGGCCGGUGUUCCAACGAGUAUAGACGGGAAUGUGUCUAGCUAUUUUGUUUUUCAUUUUAUGCUCUGGUGGAACGAUAAAGAAUUAGUCAAGCCGGUUUGCGCGCGUCGCCAUCACUUCCCUGUCCGGGUUGUCCCUCCUGCCGCCGCCAUUGUUACCGUCGUGCCCCCGUGCUGGAUCUGGCGACACCCACCUCACCUGCCCCCGCCUGACACCGGAUCCGGCGAGAUCCAUCCUGCUGCUGCUGCUGCACAGUUGCUCCUCAGCCAUUACAUGCGCGACUUGGAGCAAGGUCACGGCCAUUACAUGCUCCACCUGGGUCACGGCCGUUCCAAAGCUUCGCUGGAAGGAGCCGAGGGCGCCCGACCGCGUCGGCAUCUCCAAGUACAUGCAACCGUCUCUGAGCUUCGGGAGACCCACGUCGUGCUCCAGGUCCUCGAGAUCUCUCCAAUCCACCGUCACCUGUCUCGCCACCAACCGAGGCAGAGGCCGCCGCCCGUCAUGCCCCAGGCCGAGGCAAAGGCCAGCGCUAUCGUUGAGCUGGGAAGCCCCGACCUGGCGCCGUCGUGGGCGUGCACAGCAGUGGCGGCACUCGAGGAGCUGAUCAACGAGUUCGUGCCGUGUGGCGAGACGCGGGACCUGUUCGUGCCACCCAUGCUGGCGCCGAACCCGUCGUGUGUGUUGCUCUUCGUGAAGAUCACAGAUCUACUACUAGAGCUUCCCCAUGGAUGCGACGGCCCGUCGCACCUGCUGUCGUUGCUUGCCACACCCGCUGCUGCUGCUCGCCUGCUUCUAGCCGCAUCUGCUGCUCGAGCCGCCAUGGCGAGGUCCACCUCCCGGGAGGAGAGAAGAGGAGCACACUUUCAACUCGAGAUCCAGUGA
rnacentral:rRNA from 1 species